rnacentral:rRNA from 1 species
AUUGAACGCUGGCGGCAGGCCUAACACAUGCAAGUCGGGCGAGCGGUGGACGGGUGAGUAAUGUAUGGGGAUCUGCCUGAUGGCGGGGGAUAACUACUGGAAACGGUAGCUAAUACCGCAUACCCUCAGAUGAACCCUUAUGGGAUUAGCGAGUAGGUGAGGUAACGGCUUACCUAGGCGACGGUCCCUAGCUGGUCUGAGAGGAUUAUCAGCCACACUGGGACUGUGACACGGCCCAGACUCCGACGGGAGGCAGCAGUGGGGCAUAUUGCACAAUGGGCGCAAGCAUGAUGCAGCCAUGCCGCGUGUAUGAAGAAGGCCUUAGGGUUGUAAAAUGCUUUUAGCGGGGAGGCGUUACCCGCAGAAGAAGCACCGGCUAACUCCGUGCCAGCCGCCGCGGUAAUAC